rnacentral:rRNA from 1 species
UACGUAGGGUGCAAGCGUUAAUCGGAAUUACUGGGCGUAAAGCGUGCGCAGGCGGUUUUGCAAGUCAGAUGUGAAAUCCCCGGGCUUAACCUGGGAAUUGCAUUUGUGACUGCACGGCUAGAGUGUGGCAGAGGGGGGUAGAAUUCCACGUGUAGCAGUGAAAUGCGUAGAUAUGUGGAGGAAUACCGAUGGCGAAGGCAGCCCCCUGGGAUAACACUGACGCUCAUGCACGAAAGCGUGGGGAGCAAACAGG